AUCGAUGAAGAACGCAGUGAAAUGUGAUAAGUAAUGUGAAUUGCAGAAUCUCGUGAAUCAUUGAAUCUUUGAACGCACAUUGCGCCUAAUGGUAUUCCAUUGGGCAUACCUGUUUGAGUGUCAGAAUCCUCACAAUUAUCAAACUGUUAAAUAUGUACUAUUUAUUUUUUUAUCAAUAGACAUAUAUAUAAUGAUGUUUGGACUAUUAUUGAGAAAAGUAGUAUUUAUUAAAAUAUUACUUUCUUAAAAGUCAGGAUGAUUUUUGUUUUGAUUUUUGAUCAACUCAUUUUGUAUGCAAUAUAACAAGUGAGUAUGAAUAAAAGCAACAAUACUUUAUUUUGGAUGACCUCAAAUCAGGUAGGGAUACCCGCUGAACUUAAGCAUAUCAAUAAGCGGAGGAAAAGAAACCAACAGGGAUUGCCUCAGUAACGGCGAGUGAAGCGGCAAAAGCUCAGAUUUGAAAUCUGGUGUAGUAAUCGACACCCGAGUUGUAAUCUGUAGAGGAGUUUUCGGAGAAUGACUUUGGUUAAAGUUCCUUGGAAAAGGGCAUCAUAGAGGGUGAGAAUCCUGUUUAUGACCUUUGUACUUCUCUAUUAUGAAUCUCCUUCAAUGAGUCGAGUUGUUUGGGAAUGCAGCUCUAAAUGGGUGGUAAAUUCCAUCUAAAGCUAAAUAUUGGCAAGAGACCGAUAGCGCACAAGUAGAGUGAUCGAAAGAUGAAAAGAACUCUGAACAGAGAGUUAAAGAGUACGUGAAAUUGUUGAAAGGGAAGCACUUGUGACCAGACAAAUUUGCAAUUAAUCAGCCAUCAGUUUUGGUGGUGCACUUGAUUGUAGAUGGGUCAGCAUCAGUUAUAGCAGUGGGACAAAGGUCGAAAGAAUGUAGCUCCUCAUUGAGGAGUGUUAUAGCUUUUGGUUUAAUACCGCUUGCCAUGACUGAGGAUAGCACUUCAUAGUAAGGAUGCUGACAUAAUGGUCCUAAGUGACCCGUCUUGAAACACGG
rnacentral:rRNA from 1 species